AAAGGUAGCGUAAUCAUUAGUUUUUUAAUUGAAAGCUUGUAUGAAUGGUUGGACGAGGUAAAAACUGUCUUUAUUUAAUUUAAUGUAGAAUUUAACUUUUGAGUGAGAAGGCUUAAAUUUUUCUAAUAGACGAGAAGACCCUAUAGAUCUUUAUAGAUUAUUGUUGGUUAUAUUAGGGUUAUUUGAUGAUUGAUAAUGAAAUUUAUUUUAUUGGGGUAAUAUAGAGAUUUAAAAAAUUCUUUGAAUAUUAAAACAUAGAUAAGUGGUUAAUUGAUCCAUUAUUAUUGAUUAUAAGUUUAAGUUACCUUAGGGAUAACAGCGUAAUUUUUUUAGAGAGUUCAUAUCGAUAAAAGAGU
rnacentral:rRNA from 1 species